rnacentral:rRNA from 1 species
GCGAGAAACCUUUGCAAUGUGCGCAAGCACGACAAGGUUAAUCCGAGUGUUUCCUGCUAAAGGAAUCUUUUGUUAGUUCUAAAACCACUGAUGAAUAAGAGGUGGGCAAGUUCUGGUGUCAGCCGCCGCGGUAAAACCAGCACCUCAAGUGGUCAGGAGGAUUAUUGGGCCUAAAGCAUCCGUAGCCGGUUCUGUAAGUUUUCGGUUAAAUCCACUAGCUUAACUAAUGGGCUGCCGAAAAUACUGCAGAACUAGGGAGUGGGAGAGGUAGACGGUACUCGGUAGGAAGGGGUAAAAUCCUUUGAUCUAUUGAUGACCACCUGUGGCGAAGGCGGUCUACCAGAACACGUUCGACGGUGAGGGAUGAAAGCUGGGGGAGCAAACCGGAUUAGAUACCCUCGUAGUCCCUGAG